GGUCACUGCUAUCGGUGUUCGACUAAGCCAUGCGAGUCAAAUGUUCUUCGUGAACAUGGCGUACUGCUCAGUAACACGUGGAUAACCUGCCCUUAGGUCCGGCAUAACCCCGGGAAACUGGGGAUAAUUCCGGAUAGAUCAUAGAUGCUGGAAUGCCCUGUGAUCCAAAGCUUUUGUGCCUAAGGAUGGGUCUGCGGUCUAUCAGGUUGUAGUGGGUGUAAUGUACCUACUAGCCUACGACGGAUACGGGUUGUGGGAGCAAGAGCCCGGAGAUGGAUUCUGAGACAUGAAUCCAGGCCCUACGGGGCGCAGCAGGCGCGAAAACUUUACAAUGCGGGAAACCGCGAUAAGGGGACACCGAGUGCCAGCAUCCUAUGUUGGCUGUCCGCAUGUAUAAAUCACAUGUGUUAGCAAGGGCCGGGCAAGACCGGUGCCAGCCGCCGCGGUAACACCGGCGGCCCGAGUGGUGGCCACUAUUAUUGGGUCUAAAGGGUCCGUAGCCGGUUUGGUCAGUCUUCCGGGAAAUCUGACGGCUCAACCGUUAGGCUUUCGGGGGAUACUACCAGGCUUGGGACCGGGAGAGGUAAGAGGUACUACGGGGGUAGGAGUGAAAUCUUGUAAUCCCCGUGGGACCACCAGUGGCGAAGGCGUCUUACCAGAACGGGUCCGACGGUGAGGGACGAAAGCUGGGGGCACGAACCGGAUUAGAUACCCGGGUAGUCCCAGCUGUAAACUAUGCUCGCUAGGUGUCAGGGACGGUGCGACCGUUUCUGGUGCCGCAGGGAAGCCGUGAAGCGAGCCACCUGGGAAGUACGGUCGCAAGGCUGAAACUUAA
rnacentral:rRNA from 1 species